rnacentral:rRNA from 1 species
GUGGGGAAUCUUCCGCAAUGGACGAAAGUCUGACGGAGCGACGCCGCGUGAGUGAUGAAGGCCUUCGGGUCGUAAAGCUCUGUCAUCGGGGACGAACGGCCUCAGCAGGUAAUGGCUGGGGAUUGACGGUACCCGAGAAGGAAGCCACGGCUAACUACGUGCCAGCAGCCGCGGUAAUACGUAGGUGGCAAGCGUUGUCCGGAAUUAUUGGGCGUAAAGCGCGCGCAGGUGGGAUCUUAAGUCCAUUUUGAAAGUUCGGAGCUCAACUCCGUGAUGGGAUGGAAACUGGGAGUCUUGAGUACCGGAGAGGAAAGCGGAAUUCCCCGUGUAGCGGUGAAAUGCGUAGAUAUGGGGAGGAACACCAGUGGCGAAGGCGGCUUUCUGGACGGUGUCUGACACUGAGGCGCGAAAGCCAGGGGAGCGAACGGGAUUAGAAACCCCUGUAGUCC